rnacentral:rRNA from 1 species
UACGUAGGUGGCAAGCGUUGUCCGGAUUUACUGGGCGUAAAGGGCGUGCAGGCGGUCUGUUAAGUGCAGGGUGAAAGCUCCCGGCUCAACUGGGAGAGGUCCUUGCAUACUGGCGGACUUGAGGGGGGUAGAGGAAAGUGGAAUUCCCGGUGUAGUGGUGAUAUGCGUAGAUAUCGGGAGGAACACCUGUGGCGAAGGCGGCUUUCUGGGCCCUACCUGACGCUGAGACGCGAAAGCGUGGGGGAGCAAACAGG